AACGCACGACCAGGAAACAAAAUAAACGUACACACGGUAAUGGCACUACCCUCUGUGCUGCUCAGCCCAAAGUAUUUGCAAGAAGACCAUAUAAUUUGGUAAAAUAUCAAGCAUCCCAGUCCUUCAUAUCUUGGAGUUUUCAUAAAUGCUGAUAUCGGUCUAGGGGUGUUUUGCUGGACCUUCUGAGAGCUGACUGUUGGUUCAGUUACGGCUGUUUCCGUCGUCCCUCAAGGAAGCUGCAAUUAUCAAACACUCGUCAAUCGUUGCUCCUCAUUCCUUGAAAACUAUUGCGUACAAGUUUGAUAAUUUGCCUUGUGGAUAGUCACUAGAAUACUUUGUGGAUUGUGCGUCUUGAUUUUAUUCAUUCUUUUUGGAUUAAUCAAAUACUGAAUUAGACGGACAUAAUAUCCUUCGUUUUAAAACGUCACGCUUAAGAACCACCACGUCGUAGACCACCACGUUAGUUACCCAUCACGUCGUAGAACCACCAGGUCGUAAGAUAACCUCGUCCUUGAACAACCAAAUCGUACAAUCACCUCGCUGUAAGAUCAUCACGUCGUGUGACCACCAAGCCUGUUACCACCACGCUAUACAACCACCACGUCAUACAACCAUCACGUCAUAGAACAACCACGUCGCAAGAGCACCACGCCAUCAGACCAUCACGUUGUGGGAUAAUCUAUCUAUCUACCAUCAGCUGGUAGCAGCGGUAUCAUCAUCGCCUUCCCCCCAGGGCUUUGGGUCCGCAUGGAGUGAGUCGGUGUCAUGCGGCGCGGGCAGAGGAAGCAGCAAAAGGCCUUGGCAGCUCUCACCAUACAGGCUCUACUGUUGGACCUGUUCAAACUACAACGG
rnacentral:lncRNA from 1 species